UACGUAGGGUGCAAGCGUUAAUCGGAAUUACUGGGCGUAAAGCGUGCGCAGGCGGUUUUGUAAGUUUGUCGUGAAAGCCCCGGGCUCAACCUGGGAAUUGCGAUGAAGACUGCAAGGCUUGAAUCUGGCAGAGGGGGGUAGAAUUCCACGUGUAGCAGUGAAAUGCGUAGAGAUGUGGAGGAACACCGAUGGCGAAGGCAGCCCCCUGGGUCAAGAUUGACGCUCAUGCACGAAAGCGUAGGGAGCAAACGGG
rnacentral:rRNA from 1 species